UACGGGGGGGGCAAGCGUUGUUCGGAAUUACUGGGCGUAAAGGGUCCGUAGGUGGCCAACUAAGUCAGACGUGAAAUCCCUCAGCUUAACUGGGGAACUGCGUCUGAUACUGGUCGGCUUGAGUGCAGGAGAGGAACGCGGAAUUCCAGGUGUAGCGGUGAAAUGCGUAGAUAUCUGGAGGAACACCGGUGGCGAAGGCGGCGUUCUGGACUGCAACUGACACUGAACGACGAAAGCCAGGGGAGCAAACGGG
rnacentral:rRNA from 1 species